rnacentral:rRNA from 1 species
CUGGCGGCACGCCUAACACAUGCAAGUCGAACGAAGUAGCAAUACUUAGUGGCAGACGGGUGAGUAACAUGUAGGUAUCUACCCUUUGGCCUGGAAUAACACGAGGAAACUUGUGCUAAUACCGGAUAAGUCUUUACGGAGAAAGCUUUAUGCACCAUUGGAUGAGCCUGCACUUGAUUAGUUUGUUGGUGGGGUAAUGGCCUACCAAGACUUUGAUCAAUAGCUGAUUUGAGAGGAUGAUCAGCCACAUUGGGACUGAGACACGGCCCAAACUCCUACGGGAGGCAGCAGUGGGGAAUCUUGCACAAUGGAGGAAACUCUGAUGCAGCGAUGCCGCGUGAGUGAAGAAGGCCCUUGGGUUGUAAAGCUCUUUCGUCGGGGAAGAAAAUGACUGUACCCGAAUAAGAAGGUCCGGCUAACUUCGUGCCAGCAGCCGCGGUAAUACGAAGGGACCUAGCGUAGUUCGGAAUUACUGGGCUUAAAGAGUUCGUAGGUUGUUGAAAAAGUUGGUGGUGAAAUCCCAGAGCUUAACUCUGGAACUGCCAUCAAAACUUUUCAGCUAGAGUUUGAUAGAGGAAAGCAGAAUUUCUAGUGUAGAGGUGAAAUUCGUAGAUAUUAGAAAGAAUACCAAUUGCGAAGGCAGCUUUCUGGAUCAUUACUGACACUGAGGAACGAAAGCAUGGGUAGCGAAGAGGAUUAGAUACCCUCGUAGUCCAUGCCGUAAACGAUGUGUGUUAGACGUUGGAAAUUUAUUUUCAGUGUCGCAGCGAAAGCAAUAAACACACCGCCUGGGGAGUAC